rnacentral:rRNA from 1 species
GGGGAAUUUUGGACAAUGGGCGAAAGCCUGAUCCAGCAAUGCCGCGUGCAGGAUGAAGGCCUUCGGGUUGUAAACUGCUUUUGUACGGAACGAAAAAGCUCCUUCUAAUACAGGGGGCCCAUGACGGUACCGUAAGAAUAAGCACCGGCUAACUACGUGCCAGCAGCCGCGGUAAUACGUAGGGUGCGAGCGUUAAUCGGAAUUACUGGGCGUAAAGCGUGCGCAGGCGGUUAUGUAAGACAGAUGUGAAAUCCCCGGGCUCAACCUGGGAACUGCAUUUGUGACUGCAUGGCUAGAGUACGGUAGAGGGGGAUGGAAUUCCGCGUGUAGCAGUGAAAUGCGUAGAUAUGCGGAGGAACACCGAUGGCGAAGGCAAUCCCCUGGACCUGUACUGACGCUCAUGCACGAAAGCGUGGGGAGCAAAC